rnacentral:rRNA from 1 species
AGGACGAACGCUGGCGGCGUGCUUAACGCAUGCAAGUCGAGCGGAAAGGCCUUUCGGGGUACUCGAGCGGCGAACGGGUGAGUAACACGUGAGUAAUCUGCCCAUCGCUUCAGGAUAGCCAUCGGAAACGGUGAUUAAUACUGGAUAUGACAUUCCUUCGCAUGUUGGGGUGUGGAAAGUUUUUUCGGCGGUGGAUGUGCUCGCGGCCUAUCAGCUUGUUGGUGGGGUAAUGGCCUACCAAGGCUUUGACGGGUAGCCGGCCUGAGAGGGUGACCGGCCACACUGGGACUGAGACACGGCCCAGACUCCUACGGGAGGCAGCAGUGGGGAAUAUUGGACAAUGGGCGGAAGCCUGAUCCAGCAACGCCGCGUGAGGAUGACGGCCUUCGGGUUGUAACCUCUUCUAGCACAGACGAAGUUUGCUUUUUUGGUGUAAGCGACGGUAUGUGCAGAGGAAGGACGGCCAACGUACGUGCCAGCAAGCCGC